GCGCCCAGCGCUGGCAGCUAGACGGCUUGCCCCCCCUCCCCCCACCUCUCGUUCUUUGCUCACAGGAAACUCUCAUCUCUUUCCCUCCCGAAAGAAAAAGCCGACGAGAGAGAGAGAGAGAGAUAAGGGGAAGGCGGUGGAUAAAUCGAGGCGAGUUGGAGGCGUUUAAGAGCGACCGGAGUGAAUUCCGGGGCUUGUGGGAAUAAUUCGAAGCGAUUUCUCGGAGCUAGGGCUGUGUUUCGGCUUCGAUCUCGGUGGAUUUGGGGGUUCUGGAGGUGGGUGGGAUUUGGAUUUGAGGCUUUGAUCUGGGAAUUUGGGUGGAUCGGUGGUGGAUGAGAGAUCUGGGGUUAGGCGGAAGUUUUUGAUGGAGUCGUCGGAGGUGUCGGCGGUGAAGGGGAGUAAUGGGAGCUUCUCGUCCGGGUGCAGCGAGUUCAACGAGGAUGGCACUCCCGGUGGGGUGGCGGAGGCCAGCCGGGGGUUCGCAGCGGUACCGGCGGCCGUGAAAGAUUCGGAGGACGCGUUGUAUUCCGAGCUCUGGCUUGCGUGCGCCGGGCCUUUGGUGACGGUUCCCCGCGUUGGGGAGAGGGUCUUCUACUUCCCCCAGGGGCAUAUAGAACAAGUGGAGGCUUCGACGAAUCAGGUAGCAGACCAGCAGAUGCCUGUCUACAACCUUCCGUCCAAGAUCCUUUGCCGGGUGAUCAACGUGCAGUUGAAGGCUGAGCCGGACACAGAUGAGGUGUUUGCCCAAGUGACUUUGCUCCCCGAGAAGCAAGAUGAGAACGCCGUGGAGAAAGAGACCCUGCCACCCGCACAGCCACGGCCUCAUGUUCACUCUUUCUGUAAGACACUUACAGCAUCGGAUACGAGCACCCACGGUGGGUUCUCAGUGCUGAGAAGGCACGCCGACGAGUGCCUCCCUCCCCUGGAUAUGUGCCGGCAGCCACCAUCGCAAGAGCUGGUAGCGAAGGAUUUGCAUGGGGUCGAGUGGCGCUUCCGUCACAUCUUUCGAGGCCAACCGAGGAGACACUUGCUUCAGAGUGGUUGGAGUGUUUUUGUUAGUUCCAAAAGGCUCGUUGCUGGGGAUGCUUUUAUUUUUCUGAGAGGUGGGAAUGGUGAACUACGUGUCGGAGUAAGACGUGCUAUGAGACAGCAAACAAAUGUUCCUUCUUCAGUCAUAUCCAGUCACAGUAUGCACCUUGGCAUCCUUGCAACUGCAUGGCAUGCUGUCAACACAGGGACUAUGUUCACAGUCUACUAUAAACCAAGGACAAGCCCAUCUGAAUUCAUUGUUCCAUAUGAACAAUAUAUGGAGUCCCUCAAGAGCAACCAUGCCAUAGGAAUGAGAUUCAAAAUGAGAUUUGAAGGUGAAGAGACCCCAGAGCAGAGGUUCACUGGAACCAUAGUUGGCAUAGCAGAUGCUGAUCCAACCAGGUGGCCUGGAUCAAAAUGGAGAUGUCUUAAGGUGCGAUGGGACGAGAGCUCUUCAGUUCCUCGUCCAGAGAGAGUUUCUCCUUGGAAAAUUGAACCUGCUUUGUCUCCUCCAAUGAACCCCCCACCAGUGCCUAGACCCAAGAGGCCUCGAUCGAAUAUUAUGCCAUGCUCACCUGAUUCAUCUAUUCUUAUGAAAGAAGCCGCUUGUAAAGUCACUGUAGACCCUUCACAUUCACAUGGAACUCCAAGGGUCUUGCAAGGUCAAGAACUGAUGACCUUGAGAAGCAGUUUCGCCGAUGAUAAUGAAUCAGACAAUGCACAAAAGCCCAUUAUGUGGUCUUCGUCACAUGAUGAAGAGAAAACUGAUGCUUCUGUGCAGAGAAGAAUGAGAUCAGAAAAGUGGAGGCAAAUGGUGCGGCAUGAACCAACUUAUGCAGAUCUGCUGUCAGGAUAUCGGCCUCAUGAUUCGCAUGGAUUCAGCUCAACAUUAUUUGAACAGAAUCCUGGGGAAGCAUAUCUCUUGAAGAGUCAUUUUCAAGACACAGAAGGCAGACACAAUGUUCUUCCAGGCCAAUGGUCUUUAAUGCCUCCAAAUUCUUCCUUUGCUUCGCAUGAGCCUAACUUCAAGAUUACCGCACAACCUGGUGAGCAUUCUUAUCAGAAAGCUGGAAGUAUUAGGUGUGUCAGGCAGGUAGGCUGUUCUGCACUACAGGGACUAGGGAUUGAACAACAUUCCCCAAACUGGUUUGCACAUUUGCUGCCAACUUCACGAAUGGAGAACCCCUCACAAUCAAGGGUGGUGAAGCCUCAACCCUUGAUCGCAUCACAAAAUGACAUAAAAUCCAAAGCCAGUGGCAACUGUAAGCUCUUCGGAUUUCAUCUUAAUAGCAACAUGACAGCAUCUGACCUAGUAGCAUCGCAACAAAUGAAUGCUUCAACCCAUGAGCCAGAGGCACACUGUUAUGCAGCUGCAUCAUUAAAGCAGCCGCAGGCCAUGGAGGUUGACAAACAUUCUGAGCCAGCGAAAGUUAUUAAGUCAGCUGAUCCAACUCCAGUGUGUAGUGAGCCAGAGAGAAAUCUUCUGCCUUGCCCACAGACUUCUAAAGACAUGCAGAGAAAACAAAAUGGUUCAACAAGAAGUUGCACAAAGGUGCAUAAGCAAGGAAUUGCUCUUGGAAGAUCUGUGGACCUUACAAAGUUCAAUGGCUACAACGAACUGUUAGCCGAGUUAGAUCAGAUGUUUGAAUUUGAGGGUGAAUUGUUAGCUCCCAACAAAAAUUGGCUGGUUGUGUAUACCGAUAAUGAGGGUGAUAUGAUGCUUGUUGGAGAUGAUCCUUGGCAUGAAUUCUGCAGCAUGGUUCGUAAAAUUUUCAUCUACACGCGAGAGGAGGUCCAGAGGAUGAAUCCUGGAACUCUGAACUCCAGAGUUGAAGAGAGUCCAGAUUCUUCCGAGGAAAGAACAGCUGCUAGAGGAAGAAAGGGCCGGGUUCCUACAUCUUCAGCUCAUCCAGAGAGCUGCUAGCUGUAGAAUUGACACUGUCUUUUUGAAGGAGGAAUGGUUUUGGUUGGGACAAAGGUGGGGCCAGGCUGGGAGGUAUUGGAGUAUAGGUUGUGAACGGUCACCGCUUGCAGGAUACAAGCUAUGUUCGUCGGGGCUGUGCAAUUUGCAAACACAUGGCUAGCUUAUUUUAUGUAUAGCGGGAGACUUCAGAAGACAGACUCAAGGAGAACAGCUGCAGAUUUCUAUAUAUUUCCGAUAAUCAUACAGUAUUAGGUCUGUUCUGUCGCUUGUUGAACUUGUUUGUCUGGUGCACUUUGUGAAGUAGUUUCUUGUCAAACCAAUGAAAAUUAAUUCUGGCAAGCCUCUAUGCAUUUCCCAUCCCUGUUGUAUGUCUUGUAUCCGUUACUGUUCUUGUUCUAUGCAUCUUACCACAUUUGGGUAUGUGAAUGUUUUGGAUAAAAAGUUAAUAAUAUGUAGAAACACCAUCUUUUCCCCUCGA